AUGACAGCAUAUGCAUACGAGGUAUACCACGCAAAUCUAAUCAAGCAAUGGAUAUCAAAUUGUGUAGAUGAAACCAUCAACACUCGUGAAAGAUCCUUUGCUCAGCCAACUUUGGAGAUCAUACAAUGCAAACCAAAAUCUCACAAACAAACAAACAAAAAUAUGUCUGCUGCUUUAUGUUGUGCCACUAACAUCCAUGCCCACUUUAUUCCCAGUCUUGCUGCAUUCCACAAUUGUCAAGUUGUAAAUGUUCCUCCAAGUACAAUAUCAAAAAGGCGAUUAUUGUUCUUAAACAUGCAUUUCUCAUGCAAUUCUACUUUCCAGGUGUCUGGAGGUUCCUGA
rnacentral:rRNA from 1 species